rnacentral:rRNA from 1 species
GAUGAACGCUGGCGGCGUGCCUAAUACAUGCAAGUCGAGCGAACAGACGAGGAGCUUGCUCCUCUGACGUUAGCGGCGGACGGGUGAGUAGCACGUGGAUAACCUACCUAUAAGACUUGGAUAACUUCGGGAAACCGUAGCUACUACUGGGUAAUACAUCGAACUGCAUGGUUCAAUAGUGAAAGACGGUUUUUCUGUCACUUAUAGAUGUAUCCGCGCCGCAUUAGCUAGUUGGUCGGGUAACGGCCUACCAAGGCAACGAUGCGUAGCCGAACGGAGAGGGGGGUCGGCGACACUGGAAGGGAAACAGGGUCCAGGCGCCUGAGAGAGGGAGCAGUAGGGAAUGGGACGCAAUGGGCGAGAGCAUGACGCAACAGGGGAGCGUGAGAGAUGAAGGUCUUCGGAUAGGGAAAACCUGUUUUGGGGGAAAAACAAAUGUGUAUAUAAAAAUGGAGAAAUUGACGGUACCUGAACAAAAAGCCACGGCUAACUACGUG